CCCUUAGAUGUCCUGGGCCGCACGCGCGCUACACUGACAUACUCAACAAGUUCUAUCCUGGUCCGGAAGGAUUCGGGUAAUCUUUUUAGUGUAUGUCGUGCUAGGGAUAGAUCUUUGGAAUUAUAGAUCUUGAACGAGGAAUUCCUAGUAGGCAUAAGUCAUCAGCUUGUGCCGAUUACGUCCCUGCCCUUUGUACACACCGCCCGUCGCUCCUACCGAUUUUGAGUGAUCCGGUGAACCUUCUGGACCGUGUGCAGGCUCGACCUGCGUGUGGGAAGUUAAGUAAACCUUAUCACUUAGAGGAAGGAGAAGUCGUAACA
rnacentral:rRNA from 1 species